AUUGAACGCUGGCGGCAUGCCUUACACAUGCAAGUCGAACGGCAGCGCGGACUUCGGUCUGGCGGCGAGUGGCGAACGGGUGAGUAAUACAUCGGAACGUACCCUGUUGUGGGGGAUAACUAGUCGGAAGAUUAGCUAAUACCGCAUACGACCUGAGGGUGAAAGUGGGGGACCGCAAGGCCUCACGCAGCAGGAGCGGCGGAUGUCUGAUUAGCUAGUUGGUGGGGUAAAGGCCCACCAAGGCGACGAUCAGUAGCUGGUCUGAGAGGACGAUCAGCCACACUGGGACUGAGACACGGCCCAGACUCCUACGGGAGGCAGCAGUGGGGAAUUUUGGACAAUGGGGGCAACCCUGAUCCAGCAAUGCCGCGUGUGUGAAGAAGGCCUUCGGGUUGUAAAGCACUUUUGUCCGGAAAGAAAUCGCGCUGGUUAAUACCUGGCGUGGAUGACGGUACCGGAAGAAUAAGCACCGGCUAACUACGUGCCAGCCGCCGCAGUAA
rnacentral:rRNA from 1 species